rnacentral:rRNA from 1 species
UACGAAGGGUGCAAACGUUGCUCGGAAUUAUUGGGCGUAAAGGGCAUGCAGGCGGUCCGACACGUUUUGUGUGACAGCGGGUGGCUUAACUACCCGAGGAUACGAAAGACGGUUGGACUUGAGGACUCGAGAGGGACACGGAAUUCCGGGUGGAGUGGUGAAAUGCGUAGAGAUCCGGAGGAACACCGAAGGCGAAGGCAGUGUCCUGGCGAGUGACUGACGCUGAGGUGCGAAAGCCAGGGGAGCGAACGGG